rnacentral:lncRNA from 1 species
CCACAAAGCUUAAAGAGUCAAAAGCAGCAAGAAGUACAUCUGCACCUGAAAGAUCUAAUGUGGCCAUGUGUAUGGAUGACUGUGCUCUCACAUGGGAGGGCUCAGACGAUUGUGGAGAAACAGAUAAUAUACUGCUGUCGCAAUUAUGACUGACAACGGGAGAUCCUUCCUUGAAAUCACAAACAUUUUUGCCUACCGAUAUCUCAGUAAGCAUAUUACUGAUUUACCAGAUUUGUCUGAUAAAAUUAGAAAUCUCAGCAUCAAUAACAAUACAACAAUGUCCUAGAAGUAGAACCUGGAGUCAUGAAAGACUCUUUCCAAAGAAAUUCAUGGCAGCAACAUCUGAUCCUGGCAAAUAAAAAGAUAAAGAUAAUGAUAUGGAACCCACAGCUAGAAAACCCCAAUUUAUAGGAACACUUUGACCGAUGAAAAUAUACUAACUGGAGAAAUCCACAGCUUCAACAUCGGGAAACUAAUUAAAGAAUCGUAUUUUUACAAUAACAUGUAGUAAAACUGUAAAAGUUUCCCCAACUCUUAUGUUUAAUGCAACUCAUGGUAUACAUGAAUUAAUACAUAGAAAUACUUUAACCACUGAAAGUAUACUAACUGGAGAAAUUCACAGCUUCAACAUCUGGAAACUAAUUAAAGAAUCGUAUAUUUACAAUAACAUGUAGUAAAACUGUAUAAGUUUCCCCAACUCUUAUGUUUAAUGCCUCUCAUGGUAUACAUGACUUAAUACAUAGAAACACUUUGAUCAAUGGAAAUAUACGAACUGGAGAAAUUCACAGCUUCAACAUGUGGAAACUAAUUAAAGAAUCGUAUUUUUACAAUAACAUGUAGCAGAACGGUAUAAGUUCCCCCUACUCUUAUGUUUAAUGCCUUUCAAUUAAUACAUAAAAUGCACGGAAUAUAAGGAGGAGAGAAACUGAGGAAUAAUUGAUGCAUGAAAGAUAUGUAUAACUCAGCGAAGAUGAUUUAUCUACAAUGCAAACAAGACUAAAAUUGUCUAUGAUGUAAAUAAUACUAGAAUAUCCCUUGUUUGGGCUCCAUUUUAAAGGAAAUUUGAGGGAAUGAGUUCUGGAAUGGAUUUUUUUUUUUUUUUUUUGGGGAAUGUGUGGUUAAAAAAUAAAAAAAAGUUUUCGAUUUACAUGUAAUAUUAUUUUAUGGGAGAAUGUGUGGUCGAAAAUGAGUUCUUGGAAAAAUGGGGGCCAAAUAUAGGCCUACUUUAACUGCUAAACAGUGAAACAGCUGCUAAAGAGUGAAACAGCCAACUCAAAAAGUACCAAUAAAUAUGUUAAUUUUGCUAAGAGCCACAAUGUUUGGCUAAUCCUGAAAAGAAUUCAAAAUACUUUUAAGCUUCUCUUUACAUAACAUAAUUUUCAAUAAAACGAACUUUUAAGCUCAGUGAAACAUGCUCAUAACAUGAUCAGAAAAGGAUGUGGCCAAAUUGUAGUCUUCCUUUCAAUGCUACUUGCAUUGUUUUUCAGAAGGAAUUCUCAAAAGACAAUAAUUGGAUGGCAUUUACUUGUAUAACCGUCCUUAAUGUGUAACGAAAUAAAUAAAACCACAUAGAAAACAGCAGACAAAUAAACAUACAUUGCACACACACAUACUUUAUGUGGAAAAACAAUUCAAAAAACAUAGAAAAAUUAAAAAGACAAAAAAAAAAAAAUCUAAUUUCGAGGUUAACAGACGUUAAUACAAACAAACACGAGGCCCCAUUGAGAAACCCAAAAACCCUAUCCAGAAACCCUAAUUUAAGAACUUAAAAUCCCAAUGCCGAUUCCUACAUACACACUUGGUGAAAAUUUAUUACAAACCGUAGAAACAGAUUGAAGCAGAGUCCAUACCUGAAGAAAAAUCGGAAGAAACUAAAAUGCCUAAAAAAGGAACCAAAUUGUUUAUAGAUAAAAAGAACAUAAAAUACAUCGCACGUGUAGUUAUGUAUGCAUAAAUUUAUCUGUUGGUAUGCUUUUACAGAGAGGUCGCUUGGCGGUAUCGGGAGGGAGCCCGAUGUAAACAUGAAGGUUUUAUCUUGUUGACGCACCCGCGAGAUCAACGUACAACGUUGUUAAUGUAAAGUACCAGUUGGUAAGAGAUUUGUCCGCACUUGAACUGCGUGAUGGAUGGCUGACACGUGUAUUUUUGGAAUUCUGAUUUCUGAGGGUUAAUUAUUUUUUGGAAAACUGAGUCGGGAUCCCUAAUCUUUUCAAAAUGACCAAAU